CUCUGCCCAAACGCGCUCUGUUCGGAGAGACUUUUCCUGCUAUCCCAGCUGAACCUGCCCCGGCUCAGCUUCGUGCUGUUGGCUGGAGUCCUCAGGUCUCUCCUGGGGUCUCCCCUCACCUCCUCCAGCUGGACAGACCGAGUGCCCUCAGCCGGCCCGCACGCGCGUUCCCCUCCAGGCCCCUCAGUGCCCUCCAAAGCUCAGUGUUUUUUCCGUUCUGUGGUGCCCAAAACCGAGCACAGCACCCGAGGAGAAACUGCACCAGGGACGGGUGUGCACCUCAGCGGUGAGGCGAACAAAAGGGACAAAGGCAGCGUGAGGUCUUGCCAGAAAUUCUGAUCCUGUAGACAAUGCUGCACUGAACACUUCCCAGCUCUCAGCAAUCCCUUUGGGAAAAGUGGGAAGUGUUCCCAAGGCUGGAUGCCAGGUAAGCAAUAAAGUCAGAGGAAAAGAAGUUACACCCCUCCUUUUUCAUCUCCAUACCCUAUGAUUUCCCUGUCACCAGGCAAACUAUUUCCAUGAUUUCUAUGGAUUCAAGUGAAACCAGUUGAUUUUCCAAAGAUCCCAAUUCUUCAUUCCCUGCCAAGAAAUGCUUACAAGGAAACAGCCGUGAGUAGUUGAAUUCCUCGUAGCAGCACAAGCAAAAUGGGAAAGUGCCAAUUAUUGUGUCAGAGACCCUGGAGAAUGAUGGAUGCUGGCCUUGCCUUUUUCCACCAGGUGUUUGCAACUCUGUGUUAAGGAAGAAUUGGAAGUGCACUGUGCCAGCAGCAGCCCUGGGAAGCAGACUGUUACAUCCUG